rnacentral:rRNA from 1 species
AGCAGCCGCGGUAAUUCCAGCUCCAAUAGCGUAUAUUAAAGUUGUUGCAGUUAAAAAGCUCGUAGUUGAAUUUCGGGAUCAAUAUAUUGGUCGUGCUUCCGGUACGUACUGGUAUCGUUGAUUUCUACCUUCUGACGAACCAUGAUGUCAUUAAUUUGGUGUCAUGGGAAAUCAGGACUGUUACUUUGAAAAAAUUAGAGUGUUUAAAGCAGGCACACGCUUGAAUACAUUAGCAUGGAAUAAUGAAAUAGGACGUUUGACCCUAUUUUGUUGGUUUCUAGGAUCGACGUAAUGAUUAAUAGGGAUAGUUGGGGGCAUUAGUAUUCAAUUGUCAGAGGUGAAAUUCUUGGAUUUAUUGAAGACUAACUACUGCGAAAGCAUUUGCCAAGGAUGUUUUCAUUAAUCAAGAACGAAAGUUAGGGGAUCGAAGACGAUCAGAUACCGUCGUAGUCUUAACCAUAAACUAUGCCGACUAGGGAUCGGAUGAUGUUAAUUUUUUAAUGACUCAUUCGGCGCCUUACG